rnacentral:rRNA from 1 species
GUCUAUGGCCAUGCCACCCUGAUCCUGUCUGAUCUCAGAAGUUAAGCAGGGUUGAGCCUGGUUAGUACUUGGAUGGGAGACCACCUAGGAAGACCAGGUGCUGUAGGCA